rnacentral:rRNA from 1 species
CACGUAGGGGGCGAGCGUUGUCCGGAUUUAUUGGGCGUAAAGAGCUCGUAGGCGGUUUCGUAAGUCGGAUGUGAAAACUCCAGCUCAACUUGGAGACGCCAUUCGAUACUGCGAUGACUUGAGUCCGGUAGGGGAGUGUGGAAUUCCUGGUGUAGCGGUGAAAUGCGCAGAUAUCAGGAGGAACACCGGCGGCGGAAGGCGGCACUCUGGGCCGGUACUGACGCUGAGGAGCGAAAGCGUGGGUAGCAAACAGG